UUCCUGUUGGCGGCUAUCAGAUAUUCAGAUAGUGUAUGUGACACCUGUUUUGCUUCCGGUAGAAGCUACGGCAGACCCACUUGAUAAACUUGAGAGGAAAAGGGUCAUAGUUUAUUCAACAAAGUUACCUGGUCCGAUUUCUCUAUUCCAUAGAUGCAGAAUGAUGGGUGCAUACGAGACUGAUGAUCCUAAAAAAGGGGACAGCCUGUGUAUGUAUUCUGAAGGCAGGGACGAACCACAUGGUGAGGAGAUGUUAGAGCAGAUCACUGAUAGUAGCCUUUACCAACACAUGGGAUCCACAUGUCAGAAUGGAGGAUGUGUGAG
rnacentral:misc_RNA from 1 species